rnacentral:lncRNA from 1 species
GUCAUAUGAAAGUCUAAAAGAUUUAAAUAACAAGUAUCUUAAUAUUUUUGUGGAAGUCCAAGAAAGUACAGAUACUUCAGACUUUAGAUAAAGAUGAGCCUGGCUGUGGAAUAGGUGGUGGCAGCAAUAAUGCUGAAGUGUGCUACUGAGCAGGACUCACUGUCCUCACCAAUGGAGAUGCAGAUGGCGCCCAACAAGAUGAUGGAUCAUUUAAGAAAAUUCUCCAAUCAAGAAGAAAUUUGAAAGAGAAAAUUGAAAAUCUAGGUGGUUCAAAGAUUUUUGUUGUUUUCAGAGUUAUAAUGGAAUAACUCAGGAUCUGCUGCAUUCUAACCGAUUGAUGUAGGGCAGUUGAAAAAGAUCUGUGGGCACUUCCAACUUUUACUUUCCACAGGGGUAAAGCAGAAUGAUAAAUUAAUCACUAGUUAUUUAGCACAGUCUUGAUCUAAAGGAAAUAGGUUACCAGUAUGGCCUUUC